CCAGAGAUGGAUUGGUGCCUUCGGGAACUCUGAGACAGGUGCUGCAUGGCUGUCGUCAGCUCGUGUUGUGAAAUGUUGGGUUUAAGUCCCGCAACGAGCGCAACCCUUAUCCUUUGUUGCCAGCGGUUAGGCCGGGAACUCAAAGGAGACUGCCAGUGAUAAACUGGAGGAAGGUGGGGAUGACGUCAAGUCAUCAUGGCCCUUACGAGUAGGGCUACACACGUGCUACAAUGGCGCAUACAAAGAGAAGCGACCUCGCGAGAGCAAGCGGACCUCAUAAAGUGCGUCGUAGUCCGGAUUGGAGUCUGCAACUCGACUCCAUGAAGUCGGAAUCGCUAGUAAUCGUAGAUCAGAAUGCUACGGUGAAUACGUUCCCGGGCCUUGUACACACCGCCCGUCACACCAUGGGAGUGGGUUGCAAAAGAAGUAGGUAGCUUAACCUUCGGGAGGGCGCUUACCACUUUGUGAUUCAUGACUGGGGUGAAGUCGUAACAAGGUAAGCGUAGUGCU
rnacentral:rRNA from 1 species